rnacentral:rRNA from 1 species
UGAGCAACCUGCCCCUGGCUCUGGGAUAACCCCGGGAAACCGGAGCUAAUACCGGAUACGAGACCGCGUGGCAUCACGAGGUCUGGAAAGUUUUUCGGCCAGGGAUGGGCUCGCGGCCUAUCAGCUAGUUGGUGUGGGUAAUGGCCCACCAAGGCGACGACGGGUAGCCGGCCUGAGAGGGUGACCGGCCACACUGGGACUGAGACACGGCCCAGACUCCUACGGGAGGCA